UUAACUUUCUUCUCUUCUUCCGUGUGCCAAACUUAAGUUCAUUACCACCUUAUCCAACCAUCCCUUUCAAUGGCUUCAGAAACAACAAGAGCUACCUUCACAUUCAAUCUCUCUUCUUCUGUCACUCAUCCCUUUUCCCCAAAACCAAAACCUCACCUCACAUUCUAACCUUUCCUCCUCAAAUUCCUCUCGAUUUCUUCACAAAACCCCAAUUCACCUAUAAAUCAAUUGAUGUAUCCAAAGAAGACAAGCUCAUUUCAGAACAACCAAUCUUGGGGAAAAAAACUCAUUUUAGAGGAGCCCAAUUUCGCAACAGAUUCCGAUUUUCCAGAACUAGAAUGGGAUGAAUGAUUAGUCAACCGCAGAGCCUCGAUGAUUUUCGCGACAAGUUUGAGGCGGUGCACACGGAUAACACCCUGAGAUGGUUCGAAGAUGGACCGUCGACGACUUAAUUGAGAUGGACCAUCGCAGCCAUCCAUCGACGAAGGGUGGACCGGAUGGAUUUUUCAAUGUAUGCAACAAUCUACUCCAUCACUAACAUAUUAAUGAAUUGUUUAAGAUGCCAAGAAGAUCAAAAUGAAGUUAACAUUAAGAAUUGGGUGAGAGAUUCCUUAAAUAAAUCUUGGAGACUUGCGAUUUGGGAUUAUUUUAUAUCGUGUGACGAUCGGAGAGGGUGAUAAUUAGGUUGAAUCUCACCUAGUAUGCAGAUUUGGGUUGUGAAUAUCAUUCAUAUUACCUGUUCUAGUAAUACAGCAGCUCAUUGUAUCUUAAGAUUCAUUCAUCUCAUACAUAUGCAUUUAGUAUUUUUAUCAUCAUCAAAUAGAGGAAGAUUGUUAAGAAUAUGCAUUCGAAUGUUAUUUUUUAUUUAUAUAAUUUAAUGAUGAAGAUAAUGAAGUCAA
rnacentral:lncRNA from 1 species